rnacentral:rRNA from 1 species
CCUACGGGAGGCAGCAGUGAGGAAUAUUGGUCAAUGGCCGGAAGGCUGAACCAGCCAAGCCGCGUGAAGGACGAAGGUGCCAAGCAUUGUAAACUUCUUUUGUCAAGGGACAAAAUCAGGCUCGAGAGCCUGACCGAGGGUACUUGAAGAAAAAGCAUCGGCUAACUCCGUGGCAGCAGCCGCGGUAAUACGGGGGAUGCGGUCGUUAUCCGGAUUUAUUGGGUUUAAAGGGUGCGUAGGCGGGCUGUUAAGUCAGCGGUAAAAGCCCGGGGCUCAACCCCGGCGAGCCGUUGAAACUGGCUGUCUUGAGAGGGCGAGAGGUAUGCGGAAUGCGCAGUGUAGCGGUGAAAUGCUUAGAUAUUGCGCAGAACUCCGAUUGCGAAGGCAGCAUACCGGCGGCGAUCUGACGCUGAGGCACGAAAGCGUGGGUAUCGAACAGGAUUAGAUACCCUAGUAGUC